rnacentral:rRNA from 1 species
UGGGCGUUAAGUUGCAGGGUAUAGACCCGAAACCCGGUGAUCUAGCCAUGGGCAGGUUGAAGGUUGGGUAACACUAACUGGAGGACCGAACCGACUAAUGUUGAAAAAUUAGCGGAUGACCUGUGGCUGGGGGUGAAAGGCCAAUCAAACCGGGAGAUAGCUGGUUCUCCCCGAAAGCUAUUUAGGUAGCGCCUCGUGAACUCAUCUCCGGGGGUAGAGCACUGUUUCGGCUAGGGGGCCAUCCCGGCUUACCAACCCGAUGCAAACUGCGAAUACCGGAGAAUGUUAUCACGGGAGACACACGGCGGGUGCUAACGUCCGUCGUGAAGAGGGAAACAACCCAGACCGCCAGCUAAGGUCCCAAAGUCAUGGUUAAGUGGGAAACGAUGUGGGAAGGCCCAGACAGCCAGGAUGUUGGCUUAGAAGCAGCCAUCAUUUAAAGAAAGCGUAAUAGCUCACUGGUCGAGUCGGCCUGCGCGGAAGAUGUAACGGGGCUAAACCAUGCAC